rfam:Microgenomates (Roizmanbacteria) bacterium GW2011_GWC2_37_13 TS40_C0006, whole genome shotgun sequence.
GAUGGGAGAAAUUAAAGCUAAUGGCGAAUGCCUUGGCAGUUUAAGCCGAAGAAGGACGGGUGCUAACGCCCGAAAACAACGAUGAGCCCGUAUGUAGGCGCUACAAAUCGUUGGUUUCCGAAUGGGGCAACCCCAUCUUGCGUAAGCAAGGUGAUCAGGUACCGCAUGGUACCCGAGGGUAAGCUGGAGAACUGAAACAUCUCAGUAUCCAGAGGAAAAGAAAACAACCAGCCUCGCUUAGACGCAAGUCUAGGCGGGCAGUGAUUGCGCAAGUAGCGGCGAGCGAAAACGCAAUAGUCUAAACCCCGCUCUGCGGGGGGUUGUGGGGCAAAUAAUGUGGAAUCUCAUCUUGGGUAAAAAAACGUUCUGGAAAGGACGGCCAUAGAAAGUGAUAGCCUUGUAUUUUAAACCUAAGAUAGUCCUAUUUUGUUCCCAAGUACCACGAGGCACGGCAAACCUUGUGGGAAGCAGGGUCGGUCACGACCCAAGACUAAAUACUUAAACUGACCGAUAGUGAACUAGUACCGUGAGGGAAAGGUGAAAAGCACCCCGUCAAGGGGAGUGAAAUAGAUACUGAAACCAUUAGCUAACAAACAGACAGAGUCCCGCUUAGCGGGAUGAUGUCGUGCCUAUUGAAGAAUGAGUCAGCGAGUAUACGUUUUAGUGUUUUUUGUUUAAACCCGUUUAAAUCGGGAGUAGGCAAAGCGAAAGCGAGUCCUAAUAGGGCGAAUUUACACUUAACGUAUGACCCGAAACUGGGUGAGCUAACCAUGGGCAGGAUGAACCUCGAUGAAAAUCGGGGGGAGGUCCGAACCCGUUGUCGGUGAAAUGACAUGGGAAGACUUGUGGUUAGGGGUAAUAUGCCUAUCGAACCCAGAGAUAGCUGGUUCUCCUCGAGAUAUAUUUAGGUAUAGCCUCGUUAUUAAUUUUUCGCGGGGUAGAGCGACUAGAUGGUUUUGAAAGCGUAAGCGAUCAAGACCAACUAAACUCCAAAUACGCGAAAAAACUAUUCGAGAGUCAGUCGAGUCCGGAUAAGCGGAUUUCGGCGAGAGGGAAACAUCCCAGACUCUCAUCUAAGGUUCCUAAAUGACUUUUAAGUGAAAAGGUCGUUGCGUUUCCAAUACAGCUGGUAGGUUGGCUCAGAAGCAGCCAUCCUUUAAAGAGUGCGUAACAGCUCACCAUAAUAUCCCCGCUCUGCGGGGAGGAAGCUCGGCGCCAAAAAUGAUCGGAACUAAAAAGUCUACCGAAGAUGGAGAUGUCCCGCUCUGCGGGACGUGGUAGAGGAGCUUUCCAAAAGCAGCGAAGUAUUACCGUAAGGUAAGAUGGAGUUUUUGGAAGUGAGAAUGCUGACAUAAGUAGUGAAUCUCCCGAUAAAAACUCGGGAUGCCGAAAGUCUGAGGUUUCCCCGGCAAUGUCAAUCAUCCGGGGGUCAGUCGAAUCUAAGGGGGUACCGUCUGGUACUUCCGAUGUACAAAUCGUUAAUAUUCGAUUACUUAUUUUUUGGCGUUAUUACUUGAUUUAUGACGAAGUUUGAUAUUCCUGCCCUUCUAUAUGAGGGGUUAAGUAGUGAGUUAACUCGCAAGAGUUAACAAACUACGAAUACAAUUCUGUCGCAAGACGGGAGAGUGGGAUGACUUAAGCUUCCGGGAAAAAUAGAUCAAGGAGUUAAAAAAUAAUUCGUACCGCAAACCGACACAGGUAGACUGGUAGAGUAUACCAAGGCAGACGGGUAAUGGUUGUUCAAGGAAUUCGGCAAAAAAACUGAGCGUAAGUUAUACAAGAUGCUCUGGAGGUACCGUCUGGUACCCCCUUCAACAAAAGUUUGUCAACCGACUGUUUAGCAAAAACACAGGUUCCUGCAAACCCCAAUAGGGGAUAUAUAGGAGCUGAGACCUGUCCAGAAGCUCCAGUGAACGACAGCUCUAACCCUGAGAGUUCUAAGGUAGCGUAACCCCUUGCCGGGUAAGUUCCGGCCCGCAUGAAAGGUUUAACGAGUUGACAACUGUCUUGAACUGCCGCCCGACGAAAUUGAAAUGGCUGUGAAGAUGCGGCCUACUUGCACAUGGACAAAAAGACCCCGGGAGCUUUACUGAAGCUAGGUAUUGAUGGAGUGAAAUUAACUGUUGAGCGUAGGAGGGACCACGCUUAGCGUGGGACAAUGAAACACCUCUCUUUGAUUUUUCUUUAUCUGAGCCCGCUUAGCGGGCAACAGUGCUUGGCGGUCAGUUUAACUGGGGCGGUUUCCUCCAAAAAGGUAACGGAGGAGCACAAAGGUCAGCUUGGUCCGGAUGGAAAUCGGACUGUACGUGCAUACGCAUAAGCUGGCUUAACUGCGAGAGUGACCACUCGAGCAGAUGCGAAAGCAGGUGUUAGUGAUCCCCUGAAUCGCAGUGAUUGCGGUCAGGGCUUAACGGAUAAAAGCUACCCCGGGGAUAACAGGCUAGUCGUUUCCGAGAGUUCAUAUCGACGAAACGGUUUGGACUGUUCGUCCAUUAAAACGGUACGCGAGCUGGGUUCAGAACGUCGUGAGACAGUUCGGACUCUAUCCUGUGCAAGCGCUUGAACUUUUGAGGAGGUACUCCUACAGUACGAGAGGACCUAGGAUGUGAAAAUCCCUGGUGUACCGGUUGGUUCACAAGACCAGCGCCGGGUAGCUAUAUUUUCAAUUGAUAAACACUGAAUGCAUCUCAAGUGUGAAGCAGACUCCAAGAUUAGAAGUUCUUAUUAGCUUUCCAGAAGAAUACUGGACAUAUAGGCCUUAGGUGUAAGCCCUGUAAAGGGUUCAGCCGAGAGGUACUAAGUAGCAAUCUCCCAUCGC